CGUCGGGGAGAGCCCGGAACUCGAACCCCGGGUGCGGCGAGCGGCGACGGUGGCGUGCUCGAGGAGGCGGCGGUGGUUGAAGUCGGAGAUGAUGAAGGUGACGUGGAAGUCGGAUAAGCAGAAGAGAUGCGCGAGAUUGAGCAUGGGGUUGAGAUGGCCCUGAAGUGGAUAAGGGAAAAUCAGUACGUGCGGUGGGAGAUCUUUUCCUGGUUCUGAGCUCAUCUUCUUCUAACUCAAAUCUUGCUAAAUCUCUUGAGAGAGAGAGAGAGAGAGAGAGAGUUGCACAUUUAUUUCACCAUAUAAGGUGUAUAAACACAACCACCGACACACGCGUAUCGGCUAAAUAAAUCUUAAUUAUAAAUUAAUGGUGCAAUUAGGCAUAAAUAGGGAUGUAAUCGAACUGAAUAGUGGUGUACUCAAGUUUGAUUUAUCUAGUAUCGAAUCGAAUUCCGAACUUUACUUACCGAAUACUUUGAGGCUCACGAGCCUAAUCGAGCCUAUACGAACUUUCUAAAUUUAUAUUUAUAUAUAUAUCUAUUCAAAAUAUUGAUUAUUUUAUUUUUAAAAUAAAAUAUUUUAUUCAAAAUAAUAAAUAUAUUAAUUAUUUUCUUAUAACAAACAAAAUUAAUUAGAGAUUUAAUAAAAUUAUUAUUAAUUUUAGUGGAUAAAUAUAAGUUGUAUCUACUAAUAAUUUAUAUUUUUCAAGCUGAAUCACUUGACGAACAUGCUCACAAGGUAACGAACUGAAUACUACUAAGCUCAAAUUUGGUUUGUUUAUUUAUCGAACUUUUCUAAAUGAACUUGAACGAUCUUUUUUAGAGUCGAGCUCCGAAUAGUUCAUGAGUGGCUUGAUUUGUUUACAGCCUAGGCAUAAAGAUUUGGAGGGAGGCAUUACAAUAUUCAAUAAAACUAUGCAAUUGUAGCCACCACAAACUUAGUUGAAUAUGAAAAAAAUGAUUAUUUAAUUUAUUUUUAAAAUAAAAUAAGUUGUUAUUUUAUUGUAUUUAUUAUAUUGUAUUCCCUUCGUCCACUAUUAUUGUUUCAUAAUUUUUUGAUACAAAAAUUGAGGAAAAAGUGUAAAAAUAGUAGGACCACACCUUUUGAAGAAUUAGUUAUUCCAUUUUAUGGAAAAUUUGGACGAGUUGCAAAGUUCAUGAUUUAAAAUGUAAUUUUUGAAGUUCGUGUGCAAAAUCAAAAAUUGACUAAUGCAAUUAACCCUUUUAAUUAUUGACUUAAUGAUUGGAGAAGAAUCGUCUUAUCAAUUGAUCAUGUUUUGUAUCUGAAUUAUUCUAGCUAAUACUACUAUUUAAGAUGAGACAUUUUCUCCGCACACAAUAUAUUCAAAUACUUUUGAGUUCGAUGGUUUUUUAGAACAGUAUGGAAAUUAGGACAAAAACUUUCGGAUUUGUAAAAAUAGGACACUAAUAAGUGUUGCACCCGCAAGACAUUUCUCGGCCGAGAAAAUGUCCUAUUUUCGAUGCUUAUUAAUUAGUAUCCUAUUUUACUCUAAAAAAUAUUAGUGUCUUAUUUUUUACAAAUUCGAAAAUUUUUGUCAUAAUUUUCAAAUCAAUAUAAGUUACUACUCUGAUUCAAUACUUUUAUAAAACUUAUGUCACUCGCUGAAGACUUUUUAUUAAGAAUCACUACUACAAAAAACUAAUACUUGACACUGCAUACAUGACGCUUUUUAUGAAAAAGCGUCAUGUAUGAGCGCUCUUUUAGUAUAUAUGACGUUUGGAAAAAAAAACGUCAUGUAUGUAGUGUCAUGUAUUGAAUAUAUGACGGUUUGCUGACAGUUUCAUAAAAAAACGUCAUGUAUGAGCGUCGUUUAUACAUAGUAUACAUGACAUUCAUUACAAAGCGUCAUAUAUGUGCGUUGAUUUUAAUUCUAUACAUGACAGUUAUACAAAUUGUCAUGUAUAUUAAUAAACAAACCGUCAUUAAUUAUAUAAUUCUUGACAUUUUUCACAAAAAAAUAAAUUAAAAUGCAAGGAUCAAGAAUCGAAGUAUCGAAGAAUUAACCUCUAGCUUUUUUUUUUUGAAAUUAUUUGUGUCUCUACAUUUUUCUAUCUUUUCUUCGAUAAAUCAAAAUUAUUUAAUUUAAUAUUAAGAAAAAGAACUCAUAAUUUAAAUAUGAAAAAAAUUUGAGUGAAUUUUUAUUGUAAUGAUUUUUAUUAAUCAUUAAAAAUAAAUUUUAUGUUUUAAAUAUUUUAAAAAUAAGAAUGAAUUAUACCUAUUUCUACACUGCCUUAGACUACAUGAUUUAAGUGUUCAACAAAGCAAAGCAAAGCAAAGCAAAUUAAAUUGCUUUAAUUCAUAAAUCGGAAAGAAAGAAAAAAAGAAAAAGCAAAAAAAAAAGAACAAAAAAAAAUAAUUUCAACUUUCUCUUCGUUUAUCUUUCCCCAAAUGCCAAAGAAAAACCCUUGCAGCGAAUUCCCCAAAUCCACCGCGAGAAAGCUUCCAUCUUCGACGAGAAUUUAUUCUCCAAUCCUUAACCUCUGUGAUAUGGCGAUAUCGCCGGUGAAAUCUGGGUAGGGUGGUGGCGAUAGCAUCGGACGGCCAAAACGUCGAUUUGGUCUGGACGUUAAAGCUCGAUGGCGCGGUCCACGACUGUUUGCCGCUGCCUUUGCUCUUCGAGAAGUUCCACAAUCUCCAGCACCUUUCUAUGGCCAACAUCGGCGGCUCGUCGCUGGAGCAGUUCCCCCGCCUCCAAAAUUUUCAGCGAAUUUAAAUAUUUAGCUUUUAUUUUGAUUUAGUUUUUAUAAAAUCUAACUUUGAGAAAUUGUUUGAUUACAUGUGCGAGAGUUUGUAUCUAAUAGUUUUGAUCUUAGAAGCUGUCGCCGCGCCGCCCCUCCGCUGGUCGCUAUUGCGCCGCCGAGGGCCGCUCCAGAUCCUGCCCUAGCUAAAAAAUUCCGAAGAGAGGACCGAACUGCUCCUCGUAUUUGUAUUUGCAAGAAUGUAAGUAUCAUUUAUAUGUUGAUUAACCUACAAUUUUCGAGCUUUGGAAACACAAGAGUAUUGAAUGCAAUAAGAGCCUAUGCUCUGUCAACUAUCAACUAUUGGUUGUGUCCUUACUGUAUUGAGUGUUCAAUGAGAUCACAUAAAGGAUUGAUUCACUUUUUAGAAGCCUAUGCUCAUGUUAUUGUUUUGGAAUUCUCAAGCAUUUGUUUUUCUUAGCUGUAAUGCACUUUCAUAUUGAACUACUAAAUUGAUGUAAGAGUUAUGAUGGAUAUGCAAAUAGUUCAACACAAUUUUUUGCAUUUAUAUAUUGUGCUUACUUAGUGCAAAAUAGUGAAGUAUGUAUGGAGAUGGAUAAACCAUGUGCUGCUGAAAAUUGAAUAACUUAUAGUUAUGGUAUAUGGAUUAUUAGCAGAAUGGCUUGCCAUUUUGACGGUGGUUGACAUACUGCUUGUGAGUACUACCUGACAUUUUUGUGGAGGCACUCAAGUGCAUUUUAGCAUAUUGAUAGUUGUGCUCAUGUUAGUUCAGAAUCUCCUCUAUGCUAUCAUAUUUGAUGAUUAGCUCAGUAUGAGAUUUUAGUUUUUAGGACUUUGAGUCAGAGAGGAAAUGGAAGCUGGAUAAGGCAACUAAAGCUGCUAGAAGCUUAGAUCGUGUCAUCAUCGAUAGAGAUCUUAAACCUAUGCUACCUAGAAUUACAUAAAGGAAGUAAGUUUUAUUAGUACUUAACCUUUGCAUUGUUUCUCAAUGUUCUGCUGCUUUCUCAAUUGUGGAGGAAUAUAUCUGAAACACAUUACAUUUUAUUUAUUUAUUUUCAUUGUUAGUUCAUUGUUGGGCAUUUUUAUUGCCCAUUAAGUUAAUACUCUUAUAUACAAGAAGCAAAGCAUUGUACCACGUUAUGCUGAUUCAUGAGUUUUUCAGGGUAACCCUGGCUGUUACAUGUUUUGUUUUCUACAGAUUGUUGCUCUUAAUUUUUGGAGAUUUUUAUAAUGUGCAGUAUGCCAAAAUGUAUACUGUAUUCAUGGUGCAAUUACAGGUACUGUAUAAUCUCUCAGUUGCUAUAUGGUCUUUGCAUCUUUCAGUUAUGCCUGAGCUAGGUCUAAGUUCUAGGCUACCUGCUGAUUCUUUAUAUUUUCAUUGUUGCCUAUCAGAACAUUCUUCCAUCGAAUACAAAUUUCAUUGAGGCUUAUGAAAAUAUCACUAUGAUUUCAAAAUAUUCAAUCCUAUAGACUAUUUGAGAAAUUUAAUCUAUUGAAUUUUAAUUCUCUUUGAAAUGUAUGGAAGAUGUUAAUGCUAACUUUCUUUGCCUUUGUAGAUUGACUGGUGAAAUGAAGAAGUUCGCUCAUUGAAGACAUGGAUAUUCAAAGUCAAUGAUUUUUAGGAUUCUAAUAUUAUCGAAUACUUUUGUAAAUAUAUUAUGAUGUGUAUGUAGUAUUUUCAAUGUUGAAUGUUUAAUGUACGAGCAUGUUGGAUGCUUAUUUAUGAUAUUGGAUGAUUAUUUAAUAUAUACAUUGUUUUGAAUAUUUUAUGCUGUUUAUUGGUUUUUAAAAUUGAAGAAAAUAUAGAAAAUAAUAUAUUCAAUUCUGAAAAGAGCAUAGAUGACGGUUCGUAACCGUCAAGUAUACAUAUAUAUAUAAAUGUCAAGAAUGCUUACAUAUAUGACGGUUAGUAAGUGUCAAAUAUAAUUACAUAAAGCGUCAUGUUUUGUGCUAUUCAUGACGAUUUGAAACCGUCAAGAAUAAUAUUGCUAGUGUCAUGUAUAUUAUUAUACUUGACGGUCAAAAAAUCGUCAAGUAUACUUAUAUAACCGUCAUAAAUACUGAGUAUACAUGACGGUUUAUAACCGUCAUCUAUAGUAGGGAGUAUACACUACACCACUAUACUUGACAGUUUUUAGAUGACAUAGAUGACGGUUUUUAGCCGUCAUAUAUGAGCAUUUUUGUAGUAGUGAAUGAAGGAGAAGUAAUAAAAUAAGUAUCCCAUUUUGUGGUGAACUCUUUUUCUUGAGUGACUAGCUAGCAAAAAGAGUACGUCCGCUCGUACAUAAAAUAAUGAUUCUAUCAAAAAAUAUCUGACAAAUUUAUUUCAUAGAAAUUUUUAAUAUUUUAUUUCAUAUGUAGUUUUAAUUUGUAAUUAUGUUAUGUCAAUUUUAUCUAUUGCAUAAUGGAUAGAUCGAGAUUCGAGACCGGAUUAACAUAGUAUGGGGUUGAAUUUAACUUCUGUUUUGUAUUUAGGAAAUACAAGUCAUCAAUUUUUUUGAAUAUGUAAUAUGUUAAGGGUGUCUUGUUUUUUAGACAUAGACAGCGGUACCAUUAUUUAUACGAAAAGUACAACAUAUCGAUUUUUCGGUAUCUUGGUCCACCCCGAACAAUAACAAUAAUCAAAUGACCAACGAUUUGAUAUACUGAACUAGGGCAUCCAAAUUAGUAUACGAUGAACCACCUUUACUACCAGACUUUUUCACAAGUUUAGCCAUAUGAUCUGCCCUUUUCAAAAACUCAUCCUUUCUCACUUCCAUCAAAUCUCUCACUGAUUUCUCAAUAAUCAAUCUAUCACAUGUAUCUUUUAUGUCCAAUCCAAUCUUCCAAACCUCACUCACAAACCUACUAUUAGUUGUUUGGUCACCGAAAUAAGGCCAACAUAUCAUCGGCACGCCAGCCACAAUGCUCUCGAGAGUCGAGUUCCAUCCACUGUGUGUCAAGAAUCCCCCCAGGGCCGUCUCUGAGGGCGGGCGAGCAUGGGCGACCGCCCAGGGCCCAUCAUUUUCGGGGGCCCCAAAAUUUUAUAUCCUCUUAUAUAUACUAUUAUUAUUAUGGGUCCAAUAUUUUGUUUUUUAUGUAUACUACUAACUUUAAAAAAAAUUGGGGCCCAAAAAAUUACAUCCCAAAAGAAUUUUGGAGCCCAAAUAAAUUACAUCACUAAAUAUUUUUGGAUAAUAGCGUGAUGCUGAAAUCUUUAAUUUUUUUCUGAUGUCUGUUGAAGUUGAGGAUAUUAGUGAGAAUAUAGAUAACUUGAGCGAGCAUUAUCGCCUUCUUAAUAUACCAAAUGACGAACAUAUAGCCAUGAUGAACAUUUUAUUCCUUCAUGUGAUAUAUACGAGAAAUUGGGAUAAUAUUGAUAAUAAUACACGUGAUAUUUUAGUUGAAAAAUGGCCUAUUAGAGAAAUGAAUCUUGUAUUUUCUUUAGACAAUAUCUCUAGGCAUUUUUCUUAUGCUCACUAUACUAUAAAAUUAAUCAAUGGUGAGGUGCAAGAUCGAAAGUGGUUCGUAUAUAGUAAAAAUAUUUGUCAAAUACAUGUUGUGAAAGUCGUAUUAAAAGUGCUCGAGCAAUUAGAUUUCAGUCUGUUGAAUUGAGAGAUGCUUUAUUAAAAUUAUGUGAUAUUUGUGAUGAUGCAAAGUCGAAAAGUGAAGCUGAAAGUUUAAGUGCAUCAAUUGAAAAUUGAAAAUUUUUAUUUGGUAUAGUUAUUUGGUAUGACAUUUAAUUUGCUGUAAACAUGAUGAAUAAAAAGUUACAAUCCAAAUAUCUUUGCAAGUAGUAUAGAUGACUUAUCGUGGACGGAGGGAGUAUUAUAAAUGAUUUUGCAAGUAAAAAGACGAGAAUAAAUCACUUUUUAUAUUAUUAAUACUUUAUUUUUAUCGAAAUAUUAUAAUGUGACUUAAGAAAAAGUAUUAUCUUGUGCUUUUAUGAUGGUGGAUAGGGGCCCAUUUCUAUCAUUUCGCCCUGGGCCCAUUUUUAAUCAGAAACGGCCCUGAAUCCCCCCACUGCGGGGUGGUUGAGCACCUUCUCCUGCGGCGCCCACUCCACCAACAGACCCUUUUCUUUACUACGUUCCAUUAAUUCCGCAAAAGCUUGUUCAUUUCCUUCAUUGCCAGUGAUGGAAUCCGGCCUCAUCACCCACAAGAAACUCUGCGAACUGUCGAGCAAGGCGUGCCAGAACUCUAACAGUUGCUCUCUCGUCACAAGUGUUAUGCUCCCGAAGCUCACAUAGAUGACAGAUUUAGGUGGUUGCGUGUCCAGCCAAUCGAUGCACCUCCGAUCCUCUGCCCAUAGACUCGCCUUGAUGACGGAGACCUCCGCCUUCGUCUCCAUUUGUCUGGAUUUCACUUGCAAGUGGAUUGGACCGACGGAGAAAAUUCUCGGUGCAUGCUUCUGUAUCUCUGCAACUACAGGUCCCUCGAGAUCUUCACAAGUGUUAAAUAUGACCCCUUCCUUCACAAUUUGAUGCCCUAUUAACUCUUGAAGAAUCGGGUCGUUUACAUCGUCGGCACGGUAAAAACUAGGCAGGUCACGCCGUCGGAGAAAACCUUCCAUUCCUGGUACACUUUUAACUAAUUCAUCCAUCGAUUUUCCUGCAAAAACCUCAUAGAGAUUAUAGAGUUACAUAUACAUAUCUCUCUUUGGUUGUAAAUUUUCACAUUUUAGUGGUCCCAUCUUUUUAUCCCAUAUCCUAUAGGGUAUGUAAAAAAAUAAAAAUGAUUGCCAAACUGACCUCGGAAAGGAAUAUCUUGAGCUUGAAGCAGCUGAGGAAAGCAAAGAAGAGCCCAGCAGUAGGAGGCGCUAGCAGUGUGAAAGAUGAUGAGCGGAAGCUGGUGCUCUCUUGCAAAGCCGGGAGCGAAGCUCAUAGCAUCUGCAACGAAGCAAGUCACCCGUCUACGGGCGGCGCCGCCCAAGAAAUUCUCCUGGACCAUCAUUUUCUUGAAGAGCGGCACCGUGACUUUUUCGAUGGAGAAGAUGAGGUCCAGGGCUCUCUCCCCGGUGCGGGGGUGGUCGUCGGGGAGGCCGUCGGGGAGAGUGCGGAACUGGAACCCCGGGUAGCGGGCGAAGGCGGCGAGGGCGGUGGUGUGCUCGAGGAGGCGGCGGUGGUUGAAGUCGGAGAUGAUGAAGGUGACGUGGAAGUCGGAUAGGCAGAAGAGAUGCGCGAGAUUGAGCAUGGAGUUGAGAUGCCCCUGAAUCGGAUAAGGGAAAAUCAGCACGUGCGGUGGCAGAUCUUUUCCUUCUUCACAGCUCAUCUUCUUCCAGUUCUGAACUUCCAAUUUAAUGGCUUUUGUUUUCGUUUCUGACUUCUGAGUAUUGCAAUUUAUAGAUGAAAUGAAUGACAAAUUUUGUUGUCCCACUUUUCAUGUCCACCGCUUAUUCCACUGUCAUGUUUUUAUAGUUUUUAAUUGGGUAAAUAAUGAAAAACCCGUGAACUAUAUUCACUUUAUCAAAAAUACUUUGAAACUUUUGAAAUGUUCUCUAAACACUCAAACUAUCAUGUUUUUAUCAAAUUUAUUUUGCAUCUAUUUUUUUCAAUUUUUCAACCUACAGUAUAUAUUAAUGCAGGAAAGUGACGUGAGUUGGCAUUUAUGGCAUAUUUCUGACAUUGUGUAAGAACUUUUACAAAAAACCAAACAUGCCUAUCACCAUCACUUUUGCUUUUGGGUAAUGUGGGUAGUUUUGUAAGAUAGAUUAUAAGAGUGGGUAGAUUAAAUUUCGACCCAAAAUAUAUAUUAGCCUAUUUUUUCAAAAUGCCCCAACAUAAAUAAUUUUAAACUCUUCAGAAUGAAUCUUAAUUUUCAUUCAAAAUGAGUCAUUUAUUUAUAUGGCAAAAAAAUUCUCGUUUAUUCAUCUUUUCACAUUUUCACCUACUACACUUAACACAUUAAAAAUUGUUUUCUUAAUUCUCGUGUCGAAAAGAAUUGAUUCAAGGUUCACGGGAACGGAGGGUGUAGAAUAUAUAUGGUGUAUCUGACCUUGGAAAGGAAUUUCUUGAGCUUCAAGCAGCUGAGGACAGCAAAACAUAGCCCAGUAGAAGGCGGCGCUAGCAGUUUGGAAGAGGAUGUACGGAAGCUGAUGCUCUCUCGCAAACUCGGGGGCGAACCUCAUAGCAUCGGCAACGAAGCAACUCACGCGUCUACGGGCGGCGCCGCCCAAGAAAUUCUCGUCGAGCAUCAUUUUCUUGAAGAGCGGCACCGUGACUUUUUCCAUGGAGAAGAUGAGGUCCAGGGCUCUCUCCCCGGCGCGGGGGUGGUCGUCGGGGAGGCCGUCGGGGAGAGUGCGGAACUGGAACCCCGGGUAGCGGGCGAAGACGGCGAGGGCGGUGGUGUGCUCGAGGAGGCGGCGGUGGUUGAAGUCGGAGAUGAUGAAGGUGACGUGGAAGUCGAAUAAGCAGAAGAGAUGCGCGAGAUUGAGCAUGGGGCUGAGAUGGCCCAGAAGUGGAAAAGGGAAAAUCAGCACGUGCGGCGGCAGAUCUUUACCUUGUUCAGAGCUCAUCUUCUUCCAAUCUGAUCUAGGAAUUUAAAAGCUUUUGUUUUCGUUUCUGAGUCUUGCAAUUAUCAGAUGAAAUGAAUUAUUGAAUUGAGGCACAAACUCAUUCUCCCACUUUUGAUGUCCCACCACUUAUUCCAUUAUCUAUCCUUGUGAUUUGAAUUAUUGGUUUAAUGAUUGGAGAAAAAAAGUCUUAUUAACUGAGUUGUGUUUCACUAUCUUAUUCUAACACUAUUUUAAGGCAAGACACUUUCACUUCUCACAAUACACUUUUUUUUUUUUUAAGGUAAAUAAGAUAAAUAAAAGGGGUACUUAACCCAAAAGGUACAUAAGAGCAUAUUACAUGACAAGUUAGAACUUGGAAGGAAAACAACGGAUCGGAUCAACAAACCAAUCGUGAACCGAACAACAAAAGUUACUAGACAACAUCGCCUUAAUCCUUCUCCAAGAGCAAAAGAUAAUGUUAUCCACAGCCGAAUCAACGCAUCUAUUUUUAAAGAUUCUCUCAUUUCGAGCUUUCCAACUCCAACAAGCACAUUGCCAGAUCAUGUUAAACAUCGAUUUUUCCAUCUUGUUCUUGCCAUUCACAAUACACUUACAUAUUUUUAUAAAACUUAUGUCACUCACGCAAAUCGAAGCGAGUAAUAAAACAACACAAAUUAAUUCUCCUAUGAGAUUGAGUGUAUGGGUGAGACGGGUCGGGUCGAGGUUGGUUAAUAAUUUAAAAUAAUUAUUGUUGUGAUGAAAAGUAAUAUAUAUCUUGAAAAAUACAUGUCAUCAACUUUUUUGAUAUAAGGUAUCAUUAUAUUAUUUAUGAAUAAUGUUGUUUUUGUUGAAUUUUGGAGACGGCUGAAAUCAUUAUUUUUUAUAUUAAAAAAACAAGCAACAGAAACAUUUAUAUAGGCUUAAAUAGAAAUAAAAAAACAAUUAUGUACUGAGUUGGGUUCUCUAUUUGAAUGGGCCCAUUGAGGAAAUUUUCAGACAACACUACGACAGGCUUGACAAAAUAAAUUGCCAUUGUAAAAGACUAUCACCACAAAAAUGCCGAUUUAAUCUAGUUCCACCAUUUUUUUUUUUGAAGCAGUUCUAUUUUAUUCAACAAAAAACAUUUUAAAGUUGUCAUCAAUUGAAAUCUCACAAACACAAAAAGUGAGAGGGAGCAUUCUUGCUCUGGUUCAAGGACAAGACAAACUUGUUAAAUUGCACACUCGUUUUAAUUCUGUUUGCAAUUUUUGAGGAUAUACCAACAAAAACAUCUUUAAAAAUAACAAUAACAAUAAUCACAAUACCAAUGACUCGAUAUACUGAACUAGAGCAUCCAUAUUAGUAUACGACGAACCACCUUUACUUGCAGACAUUUUCACAAGUUUAGCCAUAUUUUCUGCCCUUUUCAAAAACUCAUCUUUUCUCACUUCCAUCAAAUCCCUCACUGCCUUCUCAAUAAUCAAUCUAUCACAAGUGUCUUUUAUGUCCAACCCAAUCUUCCAAACCUCACCCACAAACCUACUAUUAGUGGUUUGGUCACCGAGAUAAGGCCAACAUAUCAUCGGCACGCCGGCCACAAUGCUCUCGAGAGUCGAGUUCCAUCCACUGUGCGUCAAGAAUCCCCCCACUGCGGGGUGGUUGAGCACCUUCUCCUGCGGCGCCCACUCCACCAACAGACCCUUUUCUUUACUACGUUCCAUUAAUUCCGCAAAAACUUUUUCAUUUCCUUCAUUGCCAGUGAUGGAAUCCGGCCUCAUCACCCACAAGAACCUCUGCGAACUAUCGAGCAAGCCGUGCCAGAACUCUAACAGUUGCUCUCUCGUCACAAGUGUUAUGCUCCCAAAGCUCACAUAGAUGACAGAUUUUGGUGGCUGCGCGUCCAACCAAUCGAUGCACCUCCGAUCCUCUGCCCAUAGACUCGCCUUGAUGAUGGAGACCUCCGCCUUCUUCUCCAUCAGUCUGGAUUUAAGUUGCUCGUGGAUUGGACCAAUGGAGAAAAUUCUCCGCACAUGCUUUUGUAUCUCUGCCAUUACCGGUCCCUCGAGAUCUUCACAAGUGUUAAAUAUGACCCAUUCCUUCACAGUUUGAUGCCCUAACUCUUGUAGAAUCGGGUCGUUUACAUCGUCGGCACGGUAAAAACUGGGCAGGUCACGCCGUCGGAGAAAACCUUCCAUUCCCGGUACACUUUUAACUAAUUCAUCCAUCGAUUUUCCUGCAAAACCCUCAUAGAGAUUAUAGAGUUACAUAUAUCUCUUUGGUUGUAAAUUUUCACAUUUUAGGGGUCCCAUCUUUUUAUCCCAUAUCCUAUAGGGUAUGUAAAAAAAUAAAAAUGAUUGCCAAAACUGACCUCGGAAAGGAAUAUCUUGAGCUUGAAGCAGCUGAGGAAAGCAAAAAAGAGCCCAGGAGAAGGCGGCGCUAGUAGUGUGGAAGAUGAUGAGCGGAAGCUGGUGCUCUCUAGCGAAGUCGGGGACGAAACGCAUAGCAUCGGCAACGAAGCAAGUCACGCGUCUACGGGCGGCGCCGCCGGCCAAGAAAUUCUCGUGGAUCAUCAUUUUCUUCAAGAGCGGCGCGGUGACUUUUUCGAUGGAGAACACGAGGUCCACGGCGCUCUCCCCCGCGCGGGGGUGGUCGUCGGGGAGGCCGGCGGGGAGAGUGCGGAACUGGAACCCUGGGUAGCGGGCGAAGGCGGCGGGGACGGUGGUGUGCUCGAGCGGCGGUGGUUGAAGUCGGAGAUGAUGAAGGUGACGUGGAAGUCGGAUAAGCAGAAGAGAUGAGCGAGAUUGAGCAUGGAGUUGAGAUGCCCCUGAAUCGGAUAAGGGAAAAUCAGCACGUGCGGUGGCAGAUCUUUUCCUUCUUCACAGCUCAUCUUCUUCCAAUUCUAACUUCCAA
rnacentral:lncRNA from 1 species